rnacentral:rRNA from 1 species
AUUGAACGCUGGCGGCAGGCCUAACACAUGCAAGUCGAACGAGUGGCGGACGGGUGAGUAAUGUCUGGGAAACUGCCCGAUGGAGGGGGGUAACUACUGGAAACGGUAGCUAAUACCGCAUACCAUCGGUUGUUCUCAGAUGGGAUUAGCUAGUAGGUGGGGUAACGGCUCACCUAGGCGACGAUCCCUAGCUGGUCCGAGAGGAUGACCAGCCAAACUGGAACGGAGACACGGUCCAGACUCCUACGGGAGGCAGCAGUGGGGAAUAUUGGACAAUGGGCGCAAGCCUGAUGCAGCAAUGCCGCGUGUGUGAAGAAGGCCUUCGGAUUGUAAAGUACUUUUAUCAGGGAGGCGUUACUCGCAGAAGAAGCACCGGCUAACUCCGUGCCAGCAGCCGCGGUAAUAC